CACUAAUUUUUUUCCCGAAAAUUAGAUAGUUGCCAUCCUAUACUCAAAGCCAAAUAUAAAGGGAUUCUAGCAUGUCCACAUCAUCAAUUAUAUUUGGCCAAUAAGAACAUUUCAUUAAUCCAUUGGAUAACACGAGGCUCUACGCUUCUCGCUCUUCGUCUUCACCAUCGUUUCAGUUCUCCCGAUCCAGAACUCCACUACAUCUCUAUCCAUCAAUUCCUUCUUUAUGAUUUCGAUUCCGUUUAGAUUGGUUAGGGUUUAGAUCUCGAUUUGCUCAAUUUGUUGUUCGUUUGCUUUUGUAGGUGGUUACAGUGAAAGUGUUAUUAGCUUAAACGAUGGAGAAGGUGUACGAAGAGCUAGACGAAGUCAAAGCCGCGAACGAGAAGCUCAGAGGAGACUUCAGAGCCAAAACGGAGCUUCUUGAGAACCUAAAGAAGGUUCAGAACAAGCAGUUGAUAGAGAUUCAAGAGGCGAGAUCUGUAAUCGAGAAGCAAGGUUAUGCCUUCAGAAACUCACUUAGGUCGGACUUUGUAAAUUGCAAUCAUGUGGCCGCUUUGCCUUCUGGAGUUUCCAGUGGAUUCGAUAGUUUCUUUUCAGCGUCAUAAUUCAAAUCUCCACUGAUGUUUCAUCUUAUUGGCUUAUUUAAGUGAUUUCUUAAUAAUCCACAUGACCAGUAAGCUCCAUGCAUGAUCAUCUCACGUCGACUCUGCUUUUUUUUUUUCUGAUUGGGGAUCCUUGAUUCUUGCUUUCUUAAUAAGAUCUUUUUUCUGAUAAUUCCUUUUUCCGUCACAAACGAAAUGGGAACACAUUGAUAAUAUAACCUCCACCCGUGUUCUUUCUUAUAUAAUUGGUGUGAUCUAAUAUUUUAACAAGCUUCAGUCUUGAUUAAUUUGUGUUUUUGGUUUUUCACAAGGAAGGUAUGGUGAUGGAGAAUGAGUAAUACGACACCUUAACAGUCAAAACUGAUACUUCCGAAGCUAACACUAAAAAGACAAGCAAGGACAGUUCAUCGGAGAUUCUCAAGCUACUACAAAAUUUCAGUUCUGUUUUUUGGUUCAAGGUGAUGGGAUCAGUCCUUGCGAUUAAACAUAUUACUCACAUUUUUCCUGAGCGAGAGUAUAUGAUUGGGCAAUUGAUGUCUCUUGGUUUUUGCAAGUGUUCAAGAAUUCCUGGUGUUCUCUUUGACCUUAUGUUGAUUUAGAGUACAAAAAAUACAGAGGUAAUUACUUUUCUAUUAUCUGCUUGAGGGCUUUGUCUUCGUCAUUUACUUAUUGCCGUUAGCGUUAAAAAGAAGUUUGUGUCAUGUUUGUUGCUUUUAUAUGGCUUGCAAGUUUUGUCUGAAUGACCAGGUGAAGAGAGAGAGAAGCGUCGGUCGCGCUACGUCGGUGCCGCCAUUAGAGAGAAACUGUUUUUAUUGGCAGCAGAGCAGACAAGAAACAACAUGGAGAGUAAUAAUGAAGUCUAUGCUAUGUUAGAAGGUUUGAAUUGUUGGACAUGGUGGUGAUGCACGAAGUGUUAUUGUGGGCACAAGGAAGGGCUUGUGAGGAACAUAUACUUCCCGUUUGACAUAGAAAGCGACACGGCAAUUAGCGUUGCAAGAGAGAUGGUGGAAGAGCUGGAGAUGGACGACCGUGAUGUGACAAAGAUAGCUAACAUGAUCGAUGGAGAGAUUGCUUCUCUGGUUCCUGAUUGGAGAUCAGGCCUAGGGUUUGAGAGCAGUUUUUGCAACUGCACCUCGAACCGGUCAGCUAUAGACUUCAACGUGAGGCAGUGUUGUACAAACAUGUGUGGAGAGAAGCAUGGACGGUUUGAGGAGAUCACUUUGGGACUACACAACUUUGGCAAAGCUUUAUAUUCCCAUGGAAAAAUGACAUUUUUGCUGUCUUUUGUUAAUAUGUGUAGAAUUUUUUACAGUAAUGUUGACAAACCAAGAAAUAUCACAGUAAUUAUUUAAUCAUAGCUCAUUAGGCCGGUGACUGUCUUGAAAUCAGUUUAU